rnacentral:rRNA from 1 species
GACAGAGGGUGCAAACGUUGUUCGGAAUUACUGGGCGUAAAGCGUGUGUAGGCGGCCACGUAAGUCGGAUGUGAAAGCCCCGGGCUCAACCCGGGAAGUGCACUCGAUACUGCGUGGCUUGAGUACUGGAGAGGUUGGUGGAAUUCUCGGUGUAGAGGUGAAAUUCGUAGAUAUCGAGAGGAACACCGGUGGCGAAGGCGGCCAACUGGACAGAUACUGACGCUGAGAC